GAUGAACGCUGGCGGCGUGCCUAAUACAUGCAAGUCGAGCGAACGGACGAGAAGCUUGCUUCUCUGAUGUUAGCGGCGGACGGGUGAGUAACACGUGGAUAACCUACCUAUAAGACUGGGAUAACUUCGGGAAACCGGAGCUAAUACCGGAUGAUAUUUUGAACCGCAUGGUUCAAAAGUGAAAGACGGUCUUGCUGUCACUUAUAGAUGGAUCCGCGCUGCAUUAGCUAGUUGGUAAGGUAACGGCUUACCAAGGCAACGAUGCAUAGCCGACCUGAGAGGGUGAUCGGCCACACUGGAACUGAGACACGGUCCAGACUCCUACGGGAGGCAGCAGUAGGGAAUCUUCCGCAAUGGGCGAAAGCCUGGCGGAGCAACGCCGCGUGAGUGAUGAGGGUCUUCGGAUCGUAAAACUCUGUUAUUAGGGAAGAACAUAUGUGUAAGUAACUGUGCACAUCUUGACGGUACCUAAUCAGAAAGCCACGGCUAACUACGUG
rnacentral:rRNA from 1 species